rnacentral:rRNA from 1 species
GACGAACGCUGGCGGCGUGCUUAACACAUGCAAGUCGAACGGAAAGGCCCUGCUUUUGUGGGGUGCUCGAGUGGCGAACGGGUGAGUAACACGUGAGUAACCUGCCCUUGACUUUGGGAUAACUUCAGGAAACUGGGGCUAAUACCGGAUAGGAGCUCCUGCUGCAUGGUGGGGGUUGGAAAGUUUCGGCGGUUGGGGAUGGACUCGCGGCUUAUCAGCUUGUUGGUGGGGUAGUGGCUUACCAAGGCUUUGACGGGUAGCCGGCCUGAGAGGGUGACCGGCCACAUUGGGACUGAGAUACGGCCCAGACUCCUACGGGAGGCAGCAGUGGGGAAUAUUGCACAAUGGGCGGAAGCCUGAUGCAGCAACGCCGCGUGCGGGAUGACGGCCUUCGGGUUGUAAACCGCUUUCGCCUGUGACGAAGCGUGAGGGACGGUAAUGGGUAAAGAAGCACCGGCGAACACGUG